rnacentral:rRNA from 1 species
AGUGAACGCUGGCGGUAGGCCUAACACAUGCAAGUCGAACGGCAGCACAGUAAGAGCUUGCUCUUACGGGUGGCGAGUGGCGGACGGGUGAGGAAUACAUCGGAAUCUACUUUUUCGUGGGGGAUAACGUAGGGAAACUUACGCUAAUACCGCAUACGACCUACGGGUGAAAGCAGGGGAUCUUCGGACCUUGCGCGAUUGAAUGAGCCGAUGUCGGAUUAGCUAGUUGGCGGGGUAAAGGCCCACCAAGGCGACGAUCCGUAGCUGGUCUGAGAGGAUGAACAGCCACAGUGGAAGUGAGACACGGUCCAGACUCCUACGGGAGGCAGCAGUGGGGAAUAGUGGACAAUGGGCGCAAGCCUGAUCCAGCCAUACCGCGUGGGUGAAGAAGGCCUUCGGGUUGUAAAGCCCUUUUGUUGGGAAAGAAAAGCAGCAGGUUAAUACCCCGCUGUUCUGACGGUACCCAAAGAAUAAGCACCGGCUAACUUCGUG